ACUCAAAUGAAUUGACGGGGGCCCGCACAAGCGGUGGAGCAUGUGGUUUAAUUCGAUGCAACGCGAAGAACCUUACCCAGACUUGACAUGCACCGGACAGGUGUGGAAACACACCCUCCUUUCGGGGCCGGUGCACAGGUGCUGCAUGGCUGUCGUCAGCUCGUGUCGUGAGAUGUUGGGUUAAGUCCCGCAACGAGCGCAACCCUUGUCCUUAGUUGCCAGCAAGUGAAGUUGGGCACUCUAAGGAGACUGCCGUCGCUAAGGCGGAGGAAGGUGGGGAUGACGUCAAGUCCUCAUGGUCCUUACGUCUGGGGCUACACACGUGCUACAAUGGCCGGUACAAAGGGUCGCAAUACCGCGAGGUGGAGCCAAUCCCAAAAAACCGGUCUCAGUUCGGAUUGCAGUCUGCAACUCGACUGCAUGAAGGCGGAAUCGCUAGUAAUCGCUGAUCAGCAGGCAGCGGUGAAUAUGUUCCCGGGCCUUGCACACACCGCCCGU
rnacentral:rRNA from 1 species